CAAGCUCCUAGCAGGCCAAGCACAAAGUUGUUAGCAAAUUUGUAUCCUAAGUUUGCUAUUAUUUAUUUCCCAUUAAAACUGUGCCUAUGGCUUGCUUCAAGACCCUGGCUGUCCUGGCUUUUGCCCUUGUUCUCUGUGCGCAAGGCACUCUAGGAGAAAUAAGAUGCGAGCAUCUGGACCAAGAAACAUGUUCUUACGCAAUCUCAUCCACCGGCAAGCGCUGCGUACUUGAGAAGCACGUCAAAAGGAGCGGGGAAGAAUCAUUCACUUGCCGUACUUCCGAAAUUGAAGCUGAUAGAUUAAGAAACUGGAUCGAAACUGACCAAUGCAUCCAAGCAUGCGGUCUCGACAGAAAAUCACUGGGAAUCUCAUCCGAUUCUCUCCUCGAGUCUCGCUUCACACAGCAACUCUGCUCUCCUCAAUGCUACGAUAGCUGCCCCAACAUUAUCGAUCUUUACUUCAAUCUUGCGGCUGGAGAAGGUGUGUUUCUUCCCAAACUCUGCGAGGCACAAGAGGGAAAUGCUCGUAGAGGAUUACUAGCUGAUAUCCGGAGCUCAGGUCUCGUUGCACCAGGACCAAUUCAACCAAUGAAAUACACUAUUGCCCCAAUAGUUGCCCCAAUAGUUGCCCCAGCAAUGGCCCCAAUAGUUGCCCCAGCAAUGGCACCCUAUUAGUCAAUUCUUGGCAAUGAAAACACACAGAAUCAAAACAUAGGUGUGAAAUUAGAUACAAGUAUACAUACGAAUUAAUAAUAAUGUAGCACUGAGAUUUUAGUAGCCGGCCGGCUCGGUUGCUCCAUCUGGAUGCAAGUAUAUGCUGGUUCUGCUAUUUGAAUCAACAAGGUGUUACUGUAGGUAGUUUAAUUUAGACGGGUUAAUUAGUAUCGCCAUAGUCGGUUUCUUCUAUUUGAAUGGAGUACAGAUAUACUGGAAUCAGACAAUAAAGAUAUUGUAUUUCAUAAUUUAAUUUUCCAAAUAAAUAAUGUGAUGU
rnacentral:misc_RNA from 1 species